AGUGAACGCUGGCGGCGUGCUUAACACAUGCAAGUCGAACGAGAACGGAAUAUAGCUUGCUAUAUUUGUCAGCUAAGUGGCGCACGGGUGAGUAAUGUAUAGAUAACCUGCCCUUAAGAAAGGAAUAACAGUUGGAAACGACUGCUAAUGCCCUAUAUGCCUUUAAUACAUAAGUAUGCAAGGGAAACGCUUUAGUGCUUAAGGAUGGGUCUGUAUGGUAUCAGCUUGUUGGUGAGGUAAUGGAUAACCAAGGCUAUGACGCCUAACUGGUUUGAGAGUAUGAUCAGUCACACGUGAACUUAGACACGGUCCAGACUCCUACGGGAGGCGGCAGUGGGGAAUAUUGCACAAUGGACGAAAGUCUGAUGCAGCAACGCCGCGUGGAGGAUGACACAUUUCGGUGCGUAAACUCCUUUUAUAUAGGAAGAUAAUGACGGUACUAUAUGAAUAAGCACCGGCUAACUCCGUGCCAGCAGCCGCAGUAA
rnacentral:rRNA from 1 species